UACGUAGGGUGCAAGCGUUAUCCGGAAUUAUUGGGCGUAAAGAGCUCGUAGGCGGUUUGUCACGGUCUGCUGUGAAAACUGGAGGCUCAACCUCCAGCCUGCAGUGGGUACGGGCAGACUAGAGUGCGGUAGGGGGAGAUUGGAAUUCCUGGUGUAGCGGUGGAAUGCGCAGAUAUCAGGAGGAACACCGAUGGGCGAAGGCAGAU
rnacentral:rRNA from 1 species